rnacentral:rRNA from 1 species
ACAGCAGCAGCCGCGGGAACACGGAGGGGGCUAGCGUUGUUCGGAAUUACUGGGCGUAAAGCGUACGUAGGCGGCUUUGUAAGUUAGAGGUGAAAGCCUGGUGCUCAACACCAGAACUGCCUUUAAGACUGCAUCGCUUGAACGUCGGAGAGGUGAGUGGAAUUCCGAGUGUAGAGGUGAAAUUCGUAGAUAUUCGGAAGAACACCAGUGGCGAAGGCGGCUCACUGGACGACUGUUGACGCUGAGGUACGAAAGCGUGGGGAGCAGACAGGAUUAGAUACCCCUGUAGUCCCUGUCUCUUAUAC